UCCGUAGGCAGGCAGCUAAGUCAGUGGUGAAAGUCUGCAGCUCAACUGUAGAAUUGCCAUUGAUACUGGUUGUCUUGAAUUAUUAUGAAGUGGUUAGAAUAUGUAGUGUAGCGGUGAAAUGCAUAGAUAUUACAUAGAAUACCAAUUGCGAAGGCAGAUCACUAAUAAUAUAUUGACGCUGAUGGACGAAAGCGUGGGGAGCGAACAGGAUUAGAUACCCUGGUAGUCC
rnacentral:rRNA from 1 species